rnacentral:lncRNA from 1 species
CCAGGUAAUCCCAUUUGUUCUUACUGAUUCCAGCUGCAAGUCUGACUGAAAAGCAAGGAGAAGGAAAAAGCAAUUAGUUCCCACAUCUUUUUGUUUUAUAAAGACAAUUCUCCUAAUGUGUGCAGCCAGUAAUGACGGGUCUAAUUGGAAUCUUUGCCAUAAGCCUUCCUGGCUCAAAGACAAAACUUGCAAUGACCUUCCUUCCAGGUGACUGCUGUGGUCUGGAGGAGAAAUAUUAGCACUUCCAUAAUGAUUAAUAGAGGAGGGAGGUUGCAAUUUUAUGCAACUGUUUCCAUACCACUGUGUGCUGCCUUUCUGAUUGUUAACUUGGUCCUGAACACGACAGGAAGAAAAAAGAACAUGUCUCUGCACAGGAAUUGCAGAGACAAUUGAAAUUUUGUAUUUUACUUUAUAUACUUCUCUUGGUGCUUCUCCCAGCCAGAGGUUCAGUCUGCACACCUGUUUUUUAUAGCUACUGACAUAUGCAUUGUCAUUGCAUUUCUCUGAUGGUUUUUUUUAUCUCAAUCCCAAGACCUCCUGUAUCAGUGAGGUCUACAAUUUAAUUAUGUUUUGGAAGAAAGCACUUCCUCUGGUUUUUGAUCUUAUUAUCUGAUCAUUGCAUUAGAUCUUCAUUUGUACUGUAUUUGGAAGCAGGCUCUUCUCGUAAGUUUGAAUUUAAUGGGCUCCAAACAGAAGUUUACCAUGCUGAUUCAAUUACUAUGUGCUACAGAUUGUUGCAGGUCCUGAAUGCUGAAGAGUUCCUGAAAUACAUCUACUUCCAAGCUGAAAAUGGCUGCACAGCAAGGCAAUAGCAUUUCAACCCAAAAGUGCAUGUACUCCUAUGGGGGAAAAAAAUUAUUCAUCUCUACUCCAAAAGUACUUGUGAACUUUUUUUUUGAAAGUUGGUGGGAAAUCCUCUUAGUCCUUUGGGUAACAGGACAGUGA